rnacentral:lncRNA from 1 species
GGAGUCUUAUGAGGUUUACAAGGGUACAACUAGGAAAGGAGAAAGCAUGUUACGGCACCAGGAAAUUAUUAUAGGAGUGAUACCUUGAACUAUUUUGGAAAGAUCUGGGAAAAGAAAUUAAGGUCUCCAAGGAGGAACUGGAGAAUCAAUGAGUGACUGGCCUGGUCACCCUGAGCAGCAAAACACUGAAGUGGGACUACAAAAAAGGAAGUUGGCACAGGGAUAUAUGGAAACUGUUGACUCCGAGGCUCCUCAGCCACAUGUUUAGUGAUGGGCCCAGAGCUGUUGUUGCUCAGCAAGACCAGCAUUUUGGAAGAAGAUGUGAGCACAAAGCUGAGAAGAUCUGGGGAGAGCAAAGGCACACUGGAACCCCUGGUUGGUUACAUCAUGGCCGUCUCUCAUUGCUUCUCACUAUAAUGGCCUCCAGAGAGUGAUAGUUGCUCUUUUGCUUCUGUAAAUUCCUCUUUUGAAAUAUUCUAACCUAGAACCAUAAAGACCAGGGAGGUUGUGGAAUGUCAAUUUGAUCUAAACAAACUGAUGAAGCACAAACCACUCUGCUACAUUUUGAGCUCAUUGGAACUGAACUUGCUUAGGGCCUGGUAUUGCCCUUUGUGUAUUUUCUGACAGAGAAGUAGACAAUCACAUAACAACAAGUGUGGGGAACAGUCUCAUAAAAUAGCUAGGCAUUGUGGCAUUAUUUCAAAUGAGAGACAAUAUACUGUAUGACUGAUUUGCUCAUAGGUAGAAUUAUUUCAUUGAAGGAGUCAAAAGUUUCAAAACAAGCCUAAUAAUAAUACAAAAAGGGAUAAGAAAGAUACAGAAUAAAAAGAAAAGUAUAAACAUAAGCGAAAUAUUAAACUAAAAAAUACAAUUGUUGAAUCGAAGAACAUGUUUGUUGGAAUAAAGUGUGGAAAGGAUGUAUCUGAAGGAUAAAUGUGUGUAUUAGGAGGUAAAUGGAAAUGAAGCCAUGUAAACAGCAUGUUUGUUGCAUCAGCACUAUAAUAUGUUCUAAUAUAAUGGGGAAAGUGUAGAGAAAUGUGUAUCUCAGACUUCAUAUUUCUUUUUUUAAUUGUACAUUAUUAAGGGAUACAGAGUGAAAUUUCAUUAUCUCUAUACAAUGUAUGAUGAUCAAAUCAGGGUAAUUAACAUAUCCAUCACAUCAAACAUUUCUCAUUUCUUUGUGUUGUGAACAUUUGAAAUAUUCUCUUUUAGCUUUUUGAAAAUAUACAAUAAAUUAUAGUUAACCAUAUUCACCCUACAGUGCUGCAGAUCACCAGAACUCAUUCCUCUUGUAUUCCCUACACUCAUUACUCUACUGCUUACCAUCUUCCCCUCCCCUACAAUUCCCAGCCUUUAAGAGCCACAACUCUACUCUCCACUUCCAUGGGCUCAAGUUUUUUGUGUUUUUGUGUGUGUGUGUGUGUGUGUGUGUGUGUUUAAUAUUAGCUCUCAUAUAUGAGUGAGACAUUCAGUAUUUAUUUUUUGUGCCUGAACUAUUUUGCUUAAUAUGAUGUCAUCCAGUUUCACCUAUGUUAUUGCAAAUGACAGAAUUUCAUUCUUUUUAAUGACUGAAUAGUAUUCCAUUGUGUUUGCAUACCACAACUUCUAGCCAUUCACCUGUUGAUGGACGUUUAGGUUAAUGCCAUAUCUUAACUAUUGUGAACAGUGCUCCAAUAAACUUUGGAUAAAUAUCCAGUAGUGGGAUUGCUGGAUCAUGUGGUAGUUCUAUUUUUAGUUUAUUCAGAAACCUCCACACUAUUUUUCAUAAUGGCUGUACUAAAAAACAUUCCCACCAACAGUAUAUAAGGGCUCCAUUUUUUUCACAUCCUUUUCAGCAUCUGUUUUUGUCUUUUUUAUGAUAGCCAUUCUAAUUGGGGUGACAUAAUAUUUUAUAAUGGUUUUAAUUUGCAUUUCCCUGAUGAUUAGUGCUGUUGAGAAUUUUUUGUAUAUUUAUUGGCCAGUUAUAUGUCUUAUUUUGAGGAAUCUUUAUUCAGAUCUUUUUCCUAUUUUAACGGUAUUAUUAUUAUUUGCUCUUGAGUUGUUAUUAGUCCCUUGUUGGAUGAAUAGUUUGCAAGUAUUUUCCCCUAUUCUCCAUGUUGUCUCUUAACUCUGUUGAUUCUUUCACUGUGCAGAAGCUUUUAGUGUAAUAUAGUCCUAUUUGUCUGUUUUGUUUGUAGUCUGUCACUUUGGAGUAAGAUUUCAUAUUUCGUCUAUCUCACCAUUACCUGUGUUUUCACAAAUUAUUAGCAAAUGUGAUUUGUGAGUCUGAUUUAGCAAUCAUGCAGUUUAUAUCUUACAAUCCUUUAAUUAUUCUUUUAUUUAAAAAAUACACCUAUAUAGGUAAACACAUAUGUAAUAUAAAUAACACGCAAAUUUGUAUCACGUUUACAUAUAGAUAUGUAGUACUUUGAUGAACCCUAUGCAUCUAUCAACGACAGUCAGGUGCUUUACACAUGCAACUUGAAAGCCUUGAGAUAUUACUAGAUGAGAAAAGCAAAUUAUAAACCCAUAUAUUUAGUACAUACCAAAUUUUAAGAAUAAGAUAUAUACGGAUAUACUUAGGCAGGUAAGUGUUCCUAUAUAUUUCUGCACUAAAAAAUUAUGGAAGUGGAAAUAUUUUAUUAUAAUGUCUAGUUAUCCAUGUGUCAUGGGUUUGGGAGAAAUAAACUUUUCAUUUUAAAUACUUUAAUAUUAUUUGGAUUUUUAUAUCUAUUUUUAUAGCUAAGGAUAGUUGAUGUACAAACAACAAAGAAGAACAAAAAAUAUAUAAACCUCUGGAUUUAAGAAUCAGAAGAACUGGGUUCAGGCUUUAGCUCUGUGUCUCUCAGAAACAGGAGUGAAUUUAGGUGAGUUGCUGCUUCUAUUUGAAUAUUCAUUAUAAUUUUUUCCUUAAACUUUUUGUUGAGGGUUAACAUAUAUAUGAAAGUGCCUUGCCCACUGCUGUGCAAAUAACAUGUUAAUAUUCCAGAAAUCCUCAUUUCUUUAACAGAUAAGAGGAGGAGGAGGAAUAAUUCCUUUCUUUUGGGUAUUUUUGCUUAAAGUCCUUGUGGGAGUCAGUAGCAUUCCAUGAAACAGAUUUUAAGUAAAAGCAAAUUAGUACAGUGCUAAAGCUAUAACUUUACUUGCCACCCACUAUCAAAUGUUAUUUGUGGAAUACCAUUGUAUAAAGAUUAGCAAGGGAAAAUACAGAUAGGCAGAGCAAUUGAUUUUACAUACUUCUCAAAAAUGAAAACUACAGGUGGAUCUCAAGCUGGCCUAACAUCAUCCAAGAUUUAUCUUACUUUUGGGUGGAUUUGACUUGGUAAGGUGCAUUGCCUGACUACAGAGACUAUUCCCUAUUCUUCCCUCUCUGUCAGCAGACUAUUUGCUAGCAUGUCAAUCAUCAGUUUUGUCAUUGAACGUGGUCUCUACCAGUGGUAAUUAGGAAAGUAAAUUCAACAGUGAAAAUCAGCAAGCAAAACUCAUCAAUCAGCAGCUCUUAAAAAGAGAGAUCACAAUCAUAGCAGCAAAAGCUGGGAGAUCAUGUCCCUCAGGGCAUUAGGAGUUUUAUAUAAAAAUGUACGUGAUGACUUUGCAAUAGGGACACCCACUGUGCAAAGCCCAAUGUGUGGCUCUCAUUUUCAAUUCAGAUAUCGUCAGUCUGAAGUCUUAUAAUAUGAUCACAGUUACAACAGAAAGAUAUUCAAAUCAUAAUGACUGAUGAGCAACAAAACCAAUUUAUUACUAGAUCUGUCUCCCCACACACUCUGAAGAAUUCCUGGGGAUGUUUACAUUUGCUCAUGAAACCAUUUGUAUUGCUAUGCUAAAAAAGCAGAAACUCAGACAUCAGCACUUGCAACCAAUGUUGUAAAUGCUGCCCUCUGGAAGCCCACUGGUGAGGCUGUGUCCAUACCACCCUUGGUACCAUUAGUAAUAUGGAGGUAAGCUUUAAUCUUGAACCAAAAUGAAAAAAGUGCUGUGAUAGCAACUCCAGCAGUCUCCUUUUGUUUAGUACUUCCACAAACAGCAAUGCAGUUUCUGCUAAUGCACCCAAGCCUGGGUGACUCUACUUCACCAAAGAGCUGGUAAACCUUCAGUAUUGAGCCUAGUUUGGGAAACUCCUGAGUACAGGCUUUAAGACCACAAAGAGGCCGAGUUGCAGCAAAUGCAUCUUAGAAUUUACACACAGCCAUUUUCCCAAAGGCAGAGCACUGGUGUACAGGGGAAGGGGAGAUAACAGAGAAAAAGUGGACUGCAUAUUGUGCCCAGGAUCUAUUAUCACUUCAGAUCUCAGUAAAUUUGCAAUGAUUUUCUUACAUUCAAAAUGUCAGAAAGAAUUUAUCUUACUUCUUGCCAGUGGGUCUAAAACUCACAUGCAUGUUUUGAGGUGUAUUCUCAUAAUAGUGAAUAAGUCUCACGAGAUCUGAUGGUUUUAAAAAGAGGAGUUUCCCUGCACAAGCUCUCUUCUCUUGUCUGCCACCAUGUGAGAUAUACCUUUCACCUUCCACCAUGAUUGUGAGGCUUCCCCAGCUACGUGGAACUGUAAGUCCAAUAAACUUCUUUCUUUGGUAAAUUGCCCAGUCCCAGGUAUGUUUUUAUCAGCAGCAUGAAAAUGGUAAAUUGGUACCAGUAGAGUGGGGUGCUGCUGAAAAGAUACCUGAAAAUGUGGAAGUGAUUUUGGAACUGGGUAACAGGCAGAGGUUGGAACAGUUUGGAGUGCACAGAAAAGGACAGGAAAAUGUGGGAAAGGUUGGAACUUCCUAGAGACUUGUUUAAUAGCUUUGUCCAAAAUGCUGAUAGCAAUAUGGACAAUAAAGUCCAGGCGGAGGUGGUCUCAGAUGGAGACAAGGAACUUGUUGAGAACUGGAGGAAAAGGUGACUCUGUUAUUUUUUUAGCAAAGAGACUGGUGGCAUUUUGCCUCUGCCCUAGAGAUUUGUGGAACUUUGAACUUGAGAGAGAUGAUUUAGAGUAUCUGGCACAGGAAAUUUCUAAGCAGCAAAGCAUUCAAGAUGUAACUUGGGUGCUGUUAAAGGCAUUUGGUUUUAAAAGGGAAACAGGCAUAAGAGUUUGGAAAAUUUGCAGCCUGACAAUGCAAUAAAAAAGAAAAUCCCAUUUUCUGAGGAAAAAUUAAAGCUGGCUGCAGAAAUUUGCAUAAAUAAGGAAGAGCCUAAUGUUAGUCACAAAGACAAUGGAAAAAAAUGUCUCCAGUGCAUGUCAGAGACCUUUGAGGCAACCCCUCUCAUCACAUGCCAGGAGGUUUAGGAGGAAAAAAUGGUUUCAUGAGCCAGGCCCAGGGUCCUUGGGCUGUGUGCAGCCUAGGGACUUGGUGCCCUAUGUCCUAGCUGCUCCAGCCAGGGCUGAAAGGGGCCAAUGUAAAGUUUGGGUCAUGG